CCUACGGGCGGCUGCAGUGGGGAAUAUUGCACAAUGGGCGCAAGCCUGAUGCAGCCAUGCCGCGUGUGUGAAGAAGGCCUUCGGGUUGUAAAGCACUUUCAGCGGGGAGGAAGGCGUUAAGGUUAAUAACCUUGUCGAUUGACGUUACCCGCAGAAGAAGCACCGGCUAACUCCGUGCCAGCAGCCGCGGUAAUACGGAGGGUGCAAGCGUUAAUCGGAAUUACUGGGCGUAAAGCGCACGCAGGCGGUCUGUCAAGUCGGAUGUGAAAUCCCCGGGCUCAACCUGGGAACUGCAUUCGAAACUGGCAGGCUAGAGUCUUGUAGAGGGGGGUAGAAUUCCGGGUGUAGCGGUGAAAUGCGUAGAGAUCUGGAGGAAUACCGGUGGCGAAGGCGGCCCCCUGGACAAAGACUGACGCUCAGGUGCGAAAGCGUGGGGAGCAAACAGGAUUAGAUACCCCAGUAGUC
rnacentral:rRNA from 1 species